rnacentral:rRNA from 1 species
GACGAACGCUGGCGGCGUGCCUAAUACAUGCAAGUCGAGCGAAGCGGCGGAUGGGUGAGUAACGCGUGGGGAACCUGCCCUUAAGUCUGGGAUACCAUUUGGAAACAGAUGCUACUACCGGAUACUAAAGGAUGGACCUGCGAUGCAUUAGCUAGUUGGUAAGGUAACGGCUUACCAAGGCGAUGAUGCAUAGCGGGGUUGAGAGACUGAUCGUCGACAUUGGGACUGAGACACGGAGCAAACUCCUACGGGAGGCAGCAGUAGGGAAUCUUCCACUAUGGACGAAAGUCUGAGGGAGCCACGCCGCGUGAGUGAAGAAGGUUUUCGGAUCGUAAAGCUCUGUUGUUGGUGAAGCGGUAAUCAACCAGAAAGUCACGGCCAACUACGUGCCAGCAGCCGCGGUAAUUC